rnacentral:rRNA from 1 species
GAUGAACGCUAGCGAUAGGCUUAACACAUGCAAGUCGAGGGGCAGCAUGGUCUUAGCUUGCUAAGACUGAUGGCGACCGGCGCACGGGUGCGUAACGCGUAUGCAACUUGCCUCACAGAGGGGGAUAACCCGUCGAAAGACGGACUAAUACCGCGUACACUUGGGAUAGGGCAUCCUGACCCAAGGAAAUGAAAUUCGCUGUGAGAUAGGCAUGCGUCCCAUUAGCUAGUUGGUGAGGUAACGGCUCACCAAGGCGACGAUGGGUAGGGGAACUGAGAGGUUGAACCCCCACACUGGUACUGAGACACGGACCAGGCUCCUACGGGAGGCAGCAGUGAGGAAUAUUGGUCAAUGGGCGAGAGCCUGAACCAGCCAAGUCGCGUGAAGGAUGACUGUCUUAUGGAUUGUAAACUUCUUUUAUACGGGAAUAACAAGAGCCACGUGUGGCUCCCUGCAUGUACCGUAUGAAUAAGCAUCGGCUAACUCCGUG